rnacentral:rRNA from 1 species
GACGAACGCUGGCGGCGUGCCUAACACAUGCAAGUCGAACGGAGAAGUUGAUUUCGGUUGACUUCUUAGUGGCGAACGGGUGAGUAACGCGUGAACAACCUGACCUCAAGAGGGGGAUACCAACGAGAAAUCGUUGUUAAUACCGCAUAAGACCACAGCGCCGCAUGGCAAAGGGGUCAAAGAGCAAUCCGCUUGAGGAGGGGUUCGCGUCCCAUUAGGUAGUAGGCGGGGUAACGGCCCACCUAGCCAGCGAUGGUAGCCGAGCUGAGAGGCUGAACGGCCACACUGGAACUGAGACACGGUCCAGACUCCUACGGGAGGCAGCAGUGGGGAAUAUUGGGGCAAUGGGCGCAAGCCUGACCCAGCAACGCCGCGUGAGGGAAGAAGGUUUUCGGAUUGUAAAGCUCUGUCUUCAAGGACGAAUGUAGAUAUUGUGAAUAAUGAUAUUUAAUGACGGUACUUGAGGAGGAAGCCACGGCUAACUACGUGCCAGCAGCCGCGGUAAAACGU